rnacentral:lncRNA from 10 species
GUCUUCGCUCACCACAACCUCCGCCUCCUGGGUUCAAGCGAUUCUCCUGCCUCAGCCUCCCGAGUAGCUGGGAUUACAGAUGUCAAUUAUCUAUUAUGCACCAGACACUGUACUGGAUGUGAGGGUCAUGGCUGCCCAUAGGCCAUGAGGUGACUGCGUGCAAAUUUGAAAAAGGCUCUCCAGAUGCACACCUCUGCACCAGGUUGCAUGAAUUGGUGAGUACAGCGAAGGCUGGAUUUCAAUCCUUACUGAUCCUCUCAACCAGAUUCCCUUGUACAGUGAACAAUUGUACCCAGCAGGCAUAUGGGGAUUGAACAAUAAGAGUCUUGUGGCUAACUGGAAGCAUUCUAGAUUCCCCCAGGAAGGCCAAAGGGACAUCUGCAUUUUCCAAAUAUUUCAUCAAGUUCUCCUACUACAGUGUCUGCUCCACCUGCUGCUAUUACAUACCCAAGGACCACUCCCAGGGCCCAGUUACAUAUCUGGAGAUUAUGAACCCUGUCACCUUUGCCUCCAGCUUCCCCUUUUUCAUGUAUACCCACCUCAUCUUUCACCAUUCCUCACUAGACUCAGCUGGCCUCAACUCCACCCAGCACCUCACUGUGUACUUUAUACCCAUAGGAUCCAAUGUUGCACAAUAAGAAACCCAAAAGACACAAUACGGGAAAUUUUGGAGCAAGACACUACCUCCAGUACUGAUCUUACCUCACCCCAUUUAGCAGGGAGGAAGUGAAAGGCAGGAGGGGACAUGUCCAAUCCUGCUCUUUCUUAGGCUGAUCAAGUCACCCCCAAAUAGAUGGCCAACCUCUACUGAGAGGGGCCUUCACAUCCCUCUGCCUUGGCCAAACACUGUGUUCUUUGUACCUCAUUCCCAGAUUGAGCCAGCUGAAGCAAAACCCAGUGAAGACCACCUUUACCGUUUUUUAAUAGAAUACAUAAAACCCCAGUCUACAGCAUCUGCCUUCCCCUUUUCCACCACCAUCGAGGAACACUGGCAGAUAGGUAACUUACUAAGAGGCCUCAAUGAAGUGGUCUGUCCCAGAGAAAGGGCAGGUUUGACCCAAGACAAAUUCCAGAUCCUCUGCUUAGAGCCGCAGGAAGAAAUGCUGAAACCAAACCAAGCCAAACAACAGAAACCCCAGCAGUCUUUCAUCUGCUCUAAAUCUAGAUGAUUUCAAAAGUGUGUCCAUCAUGAAAAGAUCCCUAGGGGUUUGCUUGUACUAGAAGAGCAUAAACAUUUACAUUGCCUUUUUUCUGCUGACAGAACAGUGAGAGGGAAGGGCCUCAUCUGGCAACUUAAAGCAAUACCAUUCAAUCAUCCCAAAGCCAGUUCUUUGUGUAUGUAAGUAGCUGCCCUUGCAGGAGGCUUAAGGUGCUGGGAGCUCAGGGUCCUGAGUCAAAUGAUCUGGCUUCAAAUCUCACCUCUACCACUUACAGUUUGAACUAUAAGGAAGCUGUAUGGUGUUACAGAAAGUACACAGGCUCUGGACACUUGGCUGCCAAGUGUAAAUCCCUGCUGCCCCACUUACCAGCUGUGUGGCCUUUAUGAUAUACAGUGCCUCAGUUUCCUCAUCUCUGAGAUGAUAGUUAUACUCCCUGUAACAUCACGGGACUGUUAUGAGGCUUACAUGGGACCAUCCACAACCUCACCUACAGUAAAUGUUUACUAAAUCUUAGUGAUUAUUAUUCCAUUCUGAGUCUAUUUCUCAUUCCUUGAAAAUGAGAAGAGAAAGGGGCACUGCUCUGCAUAAUCAUGUGAGGCACCAUCGCCCCUGUGAGCUGGGAAAGUUGGGAGAAGGUUUCUUUUCUUCCAUUUGGAUUUAGACGGCAUUCUCUCUGAGAAUCUGUUGUUUAGCCUGAAGAGAUAGACGUGCGUAUGUGUUUCAUCCAACCAUCACCCACGGGAUAUCAGGAAAAACAAAAAAGCAUUUAUCUCUCUGUGACCCCUACUGAUGGGGACCUUUGGAAAGCGAUGACACCUGGAAUGCCAGAGCCUACCCUAACCUGUCCAUUUGGAAGGCUCAGAGCCAUAUGCCAGGCUGAAUAACUAAGAUGUGGGCCAGUGGGCUUCUAGGGAAGAUAGAGGUGGGACCUGGGGCAAGACCAAGCCCUGUGAGUAGGUAGUGGGUGGAGCUUCAUUUGAUGGGUUGAAAGAAGAGGAAAAAAGUGAAGCUGAAUUCAAGGAAGAAGGGCAUGAGGGUUCUCUCUGUGAUGGGCCUCUCUGGUGAUUUUCUCUUGGUCUACAGACAUGGACAUGGGCAGUAGAUUAUUUUUUAAAAGUCCCCAUACUUGAAAUUCCUUUCAGUUAUUCACAGGCCUUCUGCAAAAUCUGUACAACCCUGGUGGUGAUGUUGGGAAGUAUAAAUGAGAGGACAGUAUAGGAAUGUAUGGUGUCCCCUCAUUCACUCACCAGUGUCUGUUUAUCCUUCUUAGAAGGGGACUUGAGUGCUGGAUUUCUGGAGGAGAUCAGUGGAAAAUUGAGUGUUGGUCCAUGGAACAGCAGAGAAGAGUAGCCGCCAGAUGAAUGGCUCAGGGAGGGAUGUGGGCCUAACCCUGUACUUUGUGAUAUGUAUACUAGAAGAAAAUGACUGGUAAAGGAGGAACAGCGAGAUGACAUUGGAGCUAUUGUGUAUCUUUGGGUGUGUUACUUAACAUCCUGGUGCCUCAGUUUCCUCAUCUGAAAAAUGAGGAUAAUGAUAGUACCUAGCACAUAAGACUGUUAUGAGGAUAAAAUGAGUUAACAUUUGCAAAAUAUUUCAGUGACCAGCACACGUUAACCAUAUUAGAAGUGUUUGUUAAAUAAAAUUAAAGUUCAACUGACAGAAGUGUGGAGUGACUGAUAAAUGAUAUAUUGAAAAUGCAGAGCUGGGCAGUAAAAAUUUAUCUUCCUCUUCAGGGGAAAGACACAAGUAUUCUGGCCACGAGAAUGUGUACUCCAAUAUGGAGCAGGGGGCCAGGGCUCCACUGCUUUCCAUGUUAAGCUUAUUUUCCCACAGAGGACCAGACUCCACCAUGGUCUAAUGCACAUUUGUUUCCCGUCCAGCCAGAAUACAAAGCAGAAAGGUGAUUCCAACCCCAAGUGAAGAAGAAUUUCCUUCUUGAAAUACCCUUGCACAUAUGCACAAACAUACAUCAACAAGGGUGUUCACUGCAGCAUUUCUUGUAAUAGUGAAAAACAGGAGCCAAUAGAAAUUACAACUAACAAGGACUGGCCGACUGAUAAAGAUUAAACCAAAAAAAAAAAAAGAGGUGCAUGUAUGUGGAUGUGCACUGAUAAGUAGCCAAAAUAUACUGUUUCAUGAAGAAAAUAGAAGCAGAAUAGUAUGAAUAAAUGUCAUCUUGUUACCAGUGGAGGAUAUCCAGGUUCUUGGCAUUUUGAACAAAGAAUUGGACAAAAUGCAUAAACAAAGCAAGGAAAGAAUGAAGCAACAAAAGCAGAGAUUUAUUGAAAACGGAAG